rnacentral:rRNA from 1 species
CUUUUGACCUCGGAUCAGGUAGGGAUACCCGCUGAACUUAAGCAUAUCAAUAAGCGGAGGAAAAGAAACCAACAGGGAUUGCCCUAGUAACGGCGAGUGAAGCGGCAAUAGCUCAAAUUUGAAAUCUGGCUCUUUCAGAGUCCGAGUUGUAAUUUGCAGAGGGCGCUUUGGCGUAGGCAGUGGCCUAAGUUCCUUGGAACAGGUCAUCAUAGAGGGUGAGAAUCCCGUAUGUGGCUGAUUGUCUUCGCCGUGUAAAGCCCCUUCGACGAGUCGAGUUGUUUGGGAAUGCAGCUCUAAAUGGGAGGUAAAUUUCUUCUAAAGCUAAAUAUUGGCCAGAGACCGAUAGCGCACAAGUAGAGUGAUCGAAAGAUGAAAAGCACUUUGGAAAGAGAGUCAAAAAGCACGUGAAAUUGUUGAAAGGGAAGCGCUUGCAGCCAGACGUGCCCGUAGUUGCUCAUCUGGGGAUCUCCCCAGUGCACUCUUCUAUGGGCAGGCCAGCAUCAGUCCGGGCGGUUGGAGAAAGACCUGUGUCAUGUAGCUGUUCUCGGGCAGUGUUAUAGGGCAGGUGGAAUGCGACCAGCCUGGACUGAGGUCCGCGCAUCUGCUAGGAUGCUGGCGUAAUGGCUGUAAGCGGCCCGUCUUGAAACACGGACCAAGGAGUCUAACAUCUAUGCGAGUGUUUGGGUGUCAAGCCCGAGCGCGUAAUGAAAGUGAACGGAGGUGGGAACCCUUGGGUGCACCAUCGACCGAUCCUGAUGUCUUCGGAUGGAUUUGAGUAAGAGCAUAGCUGUUGGGACCCGAAAGAUGGUGAACUAUGCCUGAAUAGGGUGAAGCCAGAGGAAACUCUGGUGGAGGCUCGCAGCGGUUCUGACGUGCAAAUCGAUCGUCAAAUUUGGGCAUAGGGGCGAAAGACUAAUCGAACUAUCUAGUAGCUGGUUCCUGCCGAAGUUUCCCUCAGGAUAGCAGUAACGUUUUCAGUUUU